rnacentral:tRNA from 1 species
GCGGCCAUAGCUCAAUCGGAUUAGAGCAUCUGACUACGGAUCAGAAGGUUCGGGGUUCGAGCCCCUGUGGCCGUG